rnacentral:rRNA from 1 species
GUAGCAAAAUAAAUUGUUUUUUAAUUGAAAACGGGUAUGAACGGUCAUACAAAGUAUUUUUAUUUUUAAUUAAAUUUAUUAAAUUCUGGUUUAAGUUAAAAUACUUAAAUAAUUAAAAGGGACGAUAAGACCCUAGAAUCUUUAUUUAUAAUUUUUUAAAAGUAGUAUAGGUAAUAAAUAAAUUAAGUUUGAGUUUGAUUGGGGCAGUCAUUUUAAUUAAAUUAAAAUUUUAUAAACUUUAUGAAAGGGUAUAUGGUCCUUUAAAUAAGGAUAAAUAGGUUUAGUUACUCUAGGGAUAACAGCGUAAUAUUUUCAGAAAGGCCAUAUUAAUGAGUAUGAUUGCGACCUCGAUGUUGAAUUAAAAUAUCUUUACAAGGCAUAAUGUGUAUAAGAAGGUUUGUUCAACCUUUAAAAUUUU